CCUGCCAGUAGUCAUAUGCUUGUUUUAAAGAUUAAGCCAUGCAUGUCUAAGUAUAAGCAAAAAUACAGCAAAACUGCAAAUGGCUCAUUAAAACAGUUAUUGUUUACUUGAUAAUAAUUUUUACAUGGAUAACCGUGGUAAUUCUACAGCUAAUACAUGAGCAAAAUCUCAACUUUAUUACAAGAGACGCAUUUAUUAGAUAAAAAGCCAGUUCAUGCUUUUACAGUAUGAAAAUUGGUGAUUUAUAAUAACUUAGCAAAUCGCAAAGUGAAAACAGGCGAUAAAUCAUUCAAGUUUCUGACCUAUCAGCUUUCGACGGUAUGGUAUUGGCUUACCGUGGCAGUGACGGUUAACGGGGGAUUAGGGUUCGAUUCCGGAGAGGGAGCCUGAGAAACGGCUACCACAUCUAAGGAAGGCAGCAGGCGCGCAAAUUACCCAAUUCUAACAGUUUGAGAGAGGUAGUAACAAGAAAUAACAAUACAAGGCAGUUAAAAUGCUUUGUAAUUGGAAUGAUAGAAAUUUAAACCCUUUUUAAAGUAUCAAUUGGAGGGCAAGUCUGGUGCCAGCAGCCGCGGUAAUUCCAGCUCCAAUAGCGUAUAUUAAAAUUGUUGCAGUUAAAAAGCUCGUAGUUGAAGUUCUGCUGAAAGUAACCGGUCUGCUUUUAAUAAAAGUGGUAUCUUGGUAUGUAUUUAGCAAUGAUGUCCUUUGAAGUGUUUUUUACUUUAUUGUAAUAAAGCAUAUUCAGGACUUUUACUUUGAGAAAAUUAGAGUGUUUCUAGCAGGCUAACGCUUUGAAUACUGCAGCAUGGAAUAAUAAGAUAGGAUUUUAGUUCUACAUUAUUGGUUUUAAGAGCUAAAUUAAUGAUGAUA
rnacentral:rRNA from 1 species